rnacentral:rRNA from 1 species
CUGCUGCCUCCCGUAGGAGUUUGGGCCGUGUCUCAGUCCCAAUGUGGCCGUCCACCCUCUCAGGCCGGCUACUGAUCGCUGCCUUGGUGGGCCGUUACCCCGCCAACUAGCUAAUCAGACGCGGAUCCAUCGUAUACCACCGGAGUUUUUCACACUGCCCCAUGCGGAGCCGUGCGCUUAUGCGGUAUUAGCACCUAUUUCUAAGUGUUAUCCCCGGUAUACGGCAGGUUAUCCACGCGUUACUCACCCGUCCGCCAA